UUUGCCCCUAGAAGAUUUGCAGGCUUGGCUGCUGUGUCACAUGUCAGUAGGUGGCAGAGAGGAGAAAGGCUUUGUCUAUGCUGUGUUCUGACCUGUGAACAUUUGAAUGAUUAGUAGCCUAACAUU